UUUAUCUGAGGAGGGAAUUGCUAAGGGGAUAGAGUUACUGCUGUAACAACACAAUAUGCUUUUGAAGCUAUUAUGAAGGCGUCUCAGCUUUAGAAGGAAGUUGAUCAGGCAUCCACAAGCUGGAAGGAAGCUUCUUGAAUAGGUUAAAGGGACUAAUCUGGUCAAGCGGCCUCAAUGUCAUAUGAAGUGAUUUCUAAUGCAUAAAAUCUCAUAAAUCACUUCGAUGAAAGAAAUUUUAAUGAUUCAUAUUACUUAUAUGUAAAAUUCUAAUUUACUAGUAUCAUGGAGUCGGCCCGACCGUGUCUACACUAGUUUCACAUGUUUUAAAUCGAGCCCUAUUUCGCCCUUUACCCAACCCACUAUUUAUGCUCACAAUCCAAAUUGUAGAUUUGUUUCUAUUUUGCUUAUGGUUCUUGAAAUUCUGUAAUCUUUCGUUUUCUAGAAAGUGACAGCUUUAAUGGUCAAGUAGAAUUUGCCUCUAUUCCAACAACAAAGAAGCCCGAUCUCAAGGCAAAAUUCUCCGCCCUUCAGCUGUAUGGAGACUGGUUGUGGACUAUGGUGUUUGGAGGAUGAUGAGUCAUGAAGCCGAGUCAACUCAGUCAACUAAGCCGACUUAGUCAACACAGUCAAUUCGGAUCACACUUGGCAAAUAUACGGAUAGAGUUUUGAGAGAGGUAUAGCGCCUUUGUAAUACAACUUCAGAGAAAGCGUAGUCAGUUAGUUGAAUUUGGAAAAAGUUUAGAAGGCUGUGGUUGCUAUUAAUUCAAUUGUUGUUGGGGCUGACUCUUUAAGGUGUAGAUGAGACUGGUGUGGAGCCCAAUGAAAUCGACCUGGUUAUGACUCAAAAUGGCUGUCAAGAUCAAAGGUCGUCAAGGCUUUAUAAAGGCUGCAAAUGGUGAACGCAGAUGUUAAGGUCAUUUUAUUCUCGUACGUGUCAAGGGAAACAUGGGUAUUUAGAAAUUAACCGUGAAGGCAUCUACUUACAACAUGACGAAGAUUAGUGAUCGGGAGUCAUUUGUGUUCCUUAGUUACUAAUUUUUAGUUCGAUCAUAUCUCUUGCUAUCUCUUAUAACCAUCCUACUCAUGAUAUCGCAUGACAUUGUAGACUGGGAGACCAAUUGUGUAUGGGUUGGGCCGCAAAAGGGAGAGUAUGGAUUUAGAAGAAAUGUUGAAGGGUGAACUUAAGCACAAAAUAGCUCUUUCUGGCUGCCCCACUCUCAAUGAUAUAUGGAUGUCACUUUGUUUAUUAAGCGACUUCAAGGAUAUCGAAUUUUAGGUGUCUGUUAAAUCAAAGAGGACUUGCAUCUAUAACGUUGGAUGUGGUAGGGCGUGCUACACCAACUCGACUGAGCUCAUGUUACUUUUAGUAAAUUGUAAAUGUAACAUUAUUUGUCUUUUUCUUGAUGUUUUUGUACACGGUUUAUAAAGAAAACUUC
rnacentral:lncRNA from 1 species